GGAGGAAAGCAGGGGAUCGCAAGACCUUGCGCUCAUUGAGCGGCCGAUGCCUGAUUAGCUAGUUGGUGAGGUAAAGGCUUACCAAGGCGACGAUCAGUAGCUGGUCUGAGAGGACGACCAGCCACACUGGGACUGAGACACGGCCCAGACUCCUACGGGAGGCAGCAGUGGGGAAUUUUGGACAAUGGGGGAAACCCUGAUCCAGCCAUGCCGCGUGAGUGAAGAAGGCCUUCGGGUUGUAAAGCUCUUUCAGCCGGAACGAAACGGUCACGGCUAAUACCUGUGACUACUGACGGUACCGGAAGAAGAAGCACCGGCUAACUACGUGCCAGCAGCCGCGGUAAUACGUAGGGUGCGAGCGUUAAUCGGAAUUACUGGGCGUAAAGCGUGCGCAGGCGGUUUUGUAAGUCAGAAGGGAAAUCCCCGGGCUUAACCUGGGAACUGCGU
rnacentral:rRNA from 1 species